rnacentral:rRNA from 1 species
AAAUUGAAGAGUUUGAUCAUGGCUCAGAUUGAACGCUGGCGGCAGGCCUAACACAUGCAAGUCGAACGGUAACAGGAAGCAGCUUGCUGCUUCGCUGACGAGUGGCGGACGGGUGAGUAAUGUCUGGGAAACUGCCUGAUGGAGGGGGAUAACUACUGGAAACGGUAGCUAAUACCGCAUAAUGUCGCAGGACCAAAGAGGGGGACCUUCGGGCCUCUUGCCAUCAGAUGUGCCCAGAUGGGAUUAGCUUGUUGGUGAGGUAACGGCUCACCAAGGCGACGAUCCCUAGCUGGUCUGAGAGGAUGACCAGCCACACUGGAACUGAGACACGGUCCAGACUCCUACGGGAGGCAGCAGUGGGGAAUAUUGCACAAUGGGCGCAAGCCUGAUGCAGCCAUGCCGCGUGUAUGAAGAAGGCCUUCGGGUUGUAAAGUACUUUCAGCGGGGAGGAAGGGGAUAAGGCUAAUAACCUUGUUCAUUGACGUUACCCGCAGAAGAAGCACCGGCUAACUCCGUGCCAGCAGCCGCGGUAAUACGGAGGGUGCAAGCGUUAAUCGGAAUUACUGGG